GGAUGCGAUCAUACCAGCACUAAAGUACCGGAUCCCAUCAGAACUCUGAAGUUAAGCGUGCUUGGGAUCGAGUAGUACUAGGAUGGGUGACCUCUUGGGAUGUCCUCGUGUUGCAUUCC